rnacentral:lncRNA from 1 species
GAAGACCUGAAUUCAAACCCUGCCUCAGACACUUAUUAGCUGUGUGACCUUGGACAAAUCACUUCUACUCUGUCUCAGUUUCCUCAUCUAUGAAAUGGACAUGAUAAUAGCACCUGCCUCCCAGGAUUGUUGUGAGGAUCAAAUGAAAUCAUAAUUUGCAAAGGCUUAGCACAGCACCUGGCACAUUAAUACUUUUCAUAACGCUUAAUAAAUGCUUUUUUUCUUCGUUCCCCUCCCUCUUGCAGUACAUUGGCACAGGUGGGAUUCUUGGUUCUGGCAGGGCUCCAAGUCCUGCUUUCUGACCAAUGUGCCACACAGCCACACCCCACCGUUGGGUAGAUUGGGCCAGGAAAUAGGAAGUCCCAGUUUGAAUCCCACCUCUGCCAGUUCUUAGCCACCUGGCAUUCAAAACUAGACUCUCUGGGUCUUCUUUUUUCUUCAGGGCCAUGCUUGACCAUUACAAUCACACAGCAUUCCAUGCUUGUUUUUUCUUUCCUCUUUUCCUAUUGUUUCUGCUUAUGUCCCCCUUCAUCAGCUCCCGUGAGUCUUCUCCAGCUUCUCAGUGAUCUUUCUAUUCAUGUUUCUUACAGUGGCACGUUGAUCCACCAUUACAUUCCUUGGCUGCAAAGGGCGUUACCACCUGCAGGGUACAGGGAGGCCAUGGAGUAGUUGCCGCUGUCCCAUAGAGUGAAGCUACAGAGCCUUGGGCCUGGGGUGCCUCGUGGUUGCCAAGUGGGAUUGCCUUGCCUCAGUCUCAGACCCUGGAGAGCAGCUGAAGAGGGAGCUUCAAGCAGUCAGCAUCAUUCAAACUCUGGCUAUUGGCCCAUGAGCAUCCUCUGCUCACCUCACUACCAUGGAUCUCUCAAGGCAUCUAUCUCCUCCACAGACCUACAUCUGAAGAGAACCUGAAGCCUAUCCACAUUCAAAGGAAGAGGAUCUUCAGUGUGGGAGCCCCCAUCUGUCUGUUGUUUCUGUGUCCUUGCCUUCUCCCUUGGACUGAGAUCCCAAAGGUAUCUCCUCUCAGAUUGGCCUUAGCCAUUUUCUCCAAGACUAAAAUACUAAAAGGCAUCUCCUUUGCAGACCCCAUAUCCUCAGUGAGAGUAUUGGGAGCCUAUAAGUACCUAACUCUCCCUUGGUCCCUGCCUUCUUCCAUUGACCUGCACUCUUGAGGCUACACAUAGUCUUCUAGGUCCUUAGGUGUGGUCUUUUGACUGAAUCCAAGUUUUACAGAAGAAAUCUUUUUUUUUUUUUCAAUGAGGC